rnacentral:rRNA from 1 species
AUCAAGCUACAAAGAGCGCAUGGUGAAUGCCUUGGCGCCAAGAGACGACGAAGGACGUGGUAAGCUGCGAUAAGCUCCGGGGAACGGCACGCACGUGUUGAUCCGGAGAUUUCCGAAUGGGGUAACCUGGCACGAUUAAUCUCGUGUCCCUGGUGGUUGAAUUCAUAGACCAUCAAGAGUCACACCCGCUGAAGUGAAACAUCUCAGUAAGCGGAGGAAAAGAAAGCGAAUGCGAUUCCGUAAGUAGUGGCGAGCGAAAGCGGAACAGCCCAAACCAGAAGGCUUGCCUUCUGGGGUUGUAGGACCACGAUGUGGGACUUGGAUGGUUAGGUGAAGCGGAUGGAAAGCCGCCCAAUACGAGGUGACAGGCCUGUAACCGAAAACCUGAAGAGCUCUAGUGAGUUCCUGAGUAAUGCGAUGCACGUGAAACUUUGCAUGAAACUGUGCCGACCACGGCAUAAGGCUAAAUACUUCUUGGCGACCGAUAGUGAACAAGUACCGCGAGGGAAAGGUGAAAAGCACCGCUGUGAGCGGAGUGAAAAAGUACCUGAAAUCAUGCGCUUACAAUGUGUCAAAGCUCCGCAAGGAGUGAUGGCCUGCCUUUUGCAUAAUGAGUCUGCGAGUUAGUGUCAGUGGCAUGCCUAAGGGUUUCUGAUCCGGAGGCGAAGCGAAAGCGAGUCCUAAAAGGGCGACUAAGUUGCUGGCACUAGACCCGAAACGGAGGUGAUCUACGCAUGGCCAGGAUGAAGCCAACUUAACCGUUGGUGGAGGUCCGAACUGGUGAACGUUGAAAAGUUCUCGGAUGAGCUGUGUGUAGGAGCGAAAGACUAAUCAAACCCCGUCAUAGCUGGUUCUCCCCGAAAUAUAUUGAGGUAUAGCCUGGUAUGCUGAUCUACAGAGGUAGAGCACUGAAUAGACUAGAGCCCACACCCGGGUAUCGAAUCUAAACAAACUCCGAAUGCUGUAGAGUGGAAUACUGGAGUAAGUCCAUGUGGUAUAAGCUGUAUGGGCGAGAGGGAAACAUCCCAGAUCGCCGGCUAAGGUGCCCAAAUAUUGCUAAGUGGAAAGGAUGUGAAGUUUCUUAGACAGUGAGGAUGUUGGCUUAGAGGCAGCCACCAUUUAAACAGUGCGUAAUAGCUGACUCAUCGAGAAACUUCGCGCCGAAAAUGAUUGGCGAUUAAGCAGUAUACCGAAGCCGCGAAUGUUCAGAUUCUCCGGAAUCUGGGCGUGGUAGGGGAGCGUUCUGAGCGCAUUGAAGCAGGAGGGAAACCAACUGUGGAGUGCUUGGAAGUGAGAAUGCAGACAUGAGUAGCGAUAAGACGGGUGGAAUUCCCGUCCGCCGUAAACCCAAGGAUUCCUGGGGAAGGUUCGUCCUCCCAGGGUUAGUCGGGACCUAAGUCGAGGCCAAUAGGCGUAGGCGAUGGACAGCAGGUUCAAUAUUCCUGCACCACCGACAUUUAAAGUAUGGGGACGUAUGAACAGAGAAGAGCGAGGCGUUGAUUGUCCUUGUCCCGCAAGGGGACGUGGAGGCUACGGCUGAAGCGGAUUCUUUGACGUUUGUACCGAGAAAAGCCAUACUGUAUACUAAGGUGCCCGUACCGUAAACCGACACAGGUGGGUGGGUAGAAUAUACCAAGGCGCGCGAGUGACACCUCUUUAAGGAACUCGGCAAUCUAGCCCCGUAACUUCGGAAGAAGGGCGCCUCCCGCAAGGGGGGCCGCAGUGAAAGGGGUCAACCGACUGUUUAGCAAAAACACAGCUCUCUGCUAAGUCGUAAGACGAUGUAUAGGGAGUGACACGUGACCAAUGCUCCAAGAUUAAGAGGAGGGGUUAGCGCAAGCGAAGCUCUGAAUCCAAGUCCGAGUGAAUGUCGGCCGUAACUAUAACGGUCCUAAGGUAGCGAAAUUCCUUGUCGGGUAAGUUCCGACCUGCACGAAUCGUGUAACGAGUUGACCGCUGUCUCAAAGAGGAGCUCGGCGAAGUUGUAGUGGCGGUGAAAAUGCCGCCUACCCGCAGCAGGACGGAAAGACCCCGUGCACCUUUACUGUAAGCUGUUACUGUAUCGCUGGUUUGAAUACUUAGCGUAAGUGGGAGACUGUGAAGUUCUGAUUUCGGUCAGGACAGAGUCGCCAAUGAAACACCACCUUUUGAAAUCGGUAAUACUAACCCUGUCCCAUUACCUGGGCGGGGAACAAUGGCAGCGGGUCAGUUUGACUGGGGCGGUCUCCUCCAAAAUGGUAACGGAGGAGCACUAAGGUUUCCUCAGCAUGGUUGAUAAUCAUGCGUCGAGUGUAUAGGCAGAAGGAAGCUUAACUGUGAGACAUACAAGUCGAACAGAUACGAAAGUAGGUCUAAGUGAUCCGGCGGUUGAAUGUGGAAUUGCCGUCGCUCAUCGGACAAAAGGUACGCCGGGGAUAACAGGCUGAUCGAUCCCAAGAGUUCAUAUCGACGGAUCGGUUUGGCACCUCGAUGUCGGCUCAUCGCAUCCUGGGGCUGGAGAAGGUCCCAAGGGUCCGGCUGUUCGCCGGUUAAAGCGGUACGCGAGCUGGGUUCAGAACGUCGUGAGACAGUUCGGUCCUCUAUCCGCUGUGGGCGCAGGAAACUUGAUGGAUUCACUCCUUAGUACGAGAGGACCGGGAGUGACGCACCUCUGGUGUUCCGGUUAUCGUGUCAACGGUAGCGCCGGGUAGCUAUGUGCGGAAAGGAUAAGCGCUGAAAGCAUCUAAGCGCCAAGCCUCUCCAAAGAUUAGGUUUCCCUAUUAGGGUCGUGGAAGACUACCACGUUGAUAGGACACAUGUGUAAGCGUAGUAAUACGCUCAGCUAAGUGUUACUAAUUUCCCAACAGGCUUGAUCU